CCCCAGACUCCUACGGGAGGCAGCAGUGGGGAAUAUUGCACAAUGGGGGAAACCCUGAUGCAGCGACGCCGCGUGAGUGAAGAAGUAUUUCGGUAUGUAAAGCUCUAUCAGCAGGGAAGAAAAUGACGGUACCUGACUAAGAAGCCCCGGCUAACUACGUGCCAGCAGCCGCGGUAAUACGUAGGGGGCAAGCGUUAUCCGGAUUUACUGGGUGUAAAGGGAGCGUAGACGGCAUGGCAAGUCAGAUGUGAAAGCCCGGGGCUCAACCCCGGGACUGCAUUUGAAACUGUCAGGCUGGAGUGCAGGAGAGGUAAGUGGAAUUCCUAGUGUAGCGGUGAAAUGCGUAGAUAUUAGGAGGAACACCAGUGGCGAAGGCGGCUUACUGGACUGUAACUGACGUUGAGGCUCGAAAGCGUGGGGAGCAAACAGGAUUAGAUACCCGCGUAA
rnacentral:rRNA from 1 species